rnacentral:rRNA from 1 species
GAUCAUGGCUCAGGAUGAACGCUAGCUACAGGCUUAACACAUGCAAGUCGAGGGGCAGCAUGGUCUUAGCUUGCUAAGGCCGAUGGCGACCGGCGCACGGGUGAGUAACACGUAUCCAACCUGCCGUCUACUCUUGGACAGCCUUCUGAAGGAAGAUUAAUACAAGAUGGCAUCAUGAGUCCGCAUGUUCACAUGNUUAAGGUAAUUCCGUGACGAUGGGAG